AUUGAACGCUAGCGGCAUGCCUUACACAUGCAAGUCGAACGGCAGCAUGGAGAGCUUGCUCUCUGAUGGCGAGUGGCGAACGGGUGAGUAAUGCAUCGGAACGUACCGUGUAAUGGGGGAUAACGUAGCGAAAGUUACGCUAAUACCGCAUACGACCUGAGGGUGAAAGCAGGGGAUCGCAAGACCUUGCGUUAUACGAGCGGCCGAUGUCAGAUUAGCUAGUUGGUGAGGUAAAGGCUCACCAAGGCGACGAUCUGUAGCGGGUCUGAGAGGAUGAUCCGCCACACUGGGACUGAGACACGGCCCAGACUCCUACGGGAGGCAGCAGUGGGGAAUUUUGGACAAUGGGGGCAACCCUGAUCCAGCCAUGCCGCGUGAGUGAAGAAGGCCUUCGGGUUGUAAGCUCUUUCGGCCGGGAAGAGAUCGCACGGGCUAAUACUCUGUGUGGAUGACGGUACCGGCAUAAGAAGCACCGGCUAACUACGUGCCAGCAGCCGCGGUAA
rnacentral:rRNA from 1 species